GUAGGGAGCGAGCGUUGUCCGGAAUUACUGGGUGUAAAGGGUGCGUAGGCGGCUCUGGUAAGUUAGUGGUGAAAACUAUGGGCUUAACCCAUAGCCUGCCAUUAAAACUGCUGGGCUUGUGUGAAGUAGAGGUAGGCGGAAUUCCCGGUGAAGCGGUGAAAUGCGUAGAGAUCGGGAGGAACACCAGUGGCGAAGGCGGCCUACUGGGCUUUAACUGACGCUGAGGCACGAAAGUAUGGGUAGCAAACAGGAUUAGAUACCCUGGUAGUCCAUACCGUAAACGAUGAUUACUAGGUGUGGGGGGUCUAACCCCCUCCGUGCCGGAGUAAACACAAUAAGUAAUCCACCUGGGGAGUACGACCGCAAGGUUG
rnacentral:rRNA from 1 species